GGAAGUCCAUAGGACUGUCUUCAUGCGCUUGAACAUCAUCAGCCCUGACCUGUCUGGUUGCACAAGCAAAGGCCUCGUCCUGCCCGCCGUGCUGGGCAUCACCUUUGGUGCCUUCCUCAUCGGGGCCCUGCUCACUGCUGCACUCUGGUACAUCUACUCGCACACGCGUUCCCCCAGCAAGCGGGAGCCCGUGGUGGCGGUGGCUGCCCCGGCCUCCUCGGAGAGCAGCAGCACCAACCACAGCAUCGGGAGCACCCAGAGCACCCCCUGCUCCACCAGCAGCAUGGCAUAGCCCCGGCCCCCCGCGCUCGCCCAGCAGGAGAGACUGAGCAGCCGCCAGCUGGGAGCACUGGUGUGAACUCACCCUGGGAGCCAGUCCUCCACUCGACCCAGAAUGGAGCCUGCUCUCCGCGCCUACCCUUCCCGCCUCCCUCUCAGAGGCCUGCUGCCAGUGCAGCCACUGGCUUGGAACACCUUGGGGUCCCUCCACCCCACAGAACCUUCAACCCAGUGGGUCUGGGAUAUGGCUGCCCAGGAGACAGACCACUUGCCACGCUGUUGUAAAAACCCAAGUCCCUGUCAUUUGAACCUGGAUCCAGCACUGGUGAACUGAGCUGGGCAGGAAGGGAGAACUUGAAACAGAUUCAGGCCAGCCCAGCCAGGCCAACAGCACCUCCCCGCUGGGAAGAGAAGAGGGCCCAGCCCAGAGCCACCUGGAUCUAUCCCUGCGGCCUCCACACCUGAACUUGCCUAACUAACUGGCAGGGGAGACAGGAGCCUAGCGGAGCCCAGCCUGGGAGCCCAGAGGGUGGCAAGAACAGUGGGCGUUGGGAGCCUAGCUCCUGCCACAUGGAGCCCCCUCUGCCGGUCGGGCAGCCAGCAGAGGGGGAGUAGCCAAGCUGCUUGUCCUGGGCCUGCCCCUGUGUAUUCACCACCAAUAAAUCAGACCAUGAAACC
rnacentral:lncRNA from 1 species